GCCUGAGUGACGAAAUUGGUAGACGUAGCGGAUUCAAAAUCCGCCGGUGAAUAACCGUGUCGGUUCGAGUCCGACCUCAGGCA
rnacentral:tRNA from 2 species